UUGAAGAACAGCAUUAACACAGAGUCUAUCUGGACCUAAUGGAUACUUCCCAAACCCUCUCUUCAGUGCCAUGUGAAUGCAAGUGUCAGAGCGUAAGAGAAGGGAGAAGCUGCUGUGCUGUGACGGAGACUGAUACUACCACUAUUCUUGCAGCACAUCUAGAUGCACUUAGUAGGUGGAGUUCUUUGGUGCCCAGAUACAACCCUCCUGAAGAUAGCAAGUAGACACAUUGUGUGGGCCUGAUUCUCAGUCCAGAGGAACUCUCCAUGCCCAUCACUGAAGAUAUUGUGGACUUACUUUGAACUAAAUGCCACUAAAAUCAGAAUCCAACUCUACAGCUCUGACAGGAGAUGGAACAGCUGAACAAGAGUAGGCAUUCAGGAAAGUCCUUACACCCUGCACUUUUCUUCCUGUUUUCCUCCUUUGGCGUCUUCACUUCGCCUGAAUACUGGAGAUACAGGACAAGAGAAUAUUGCAUUUACUCCAGCUGAGAAUUCAACAGAGGAAAACAACUAUUUUGCAACAAAUGUGCAUCUGUAGCAGGAACAAGCACACAAAAUGUAGCUAUUCAGCCAGUAUCAAAUUGUGAAUGGAACCUUCAAAUUUUCUAACAAU